rnacentral:lncRNA from 1 species
GAGAAGUCCCCGCGACAGAAACGCUGCGGAUGCCAGGUCUUGAAAAUGCUAACUUCUGAGGCUAAGAAUUAUUUCAGAGACAAAAAGAAAAGACUGGAGCAGCCGGCGGGGCUCGGGUGGAGGAAAGCGAGGAGGCGACCAGGAGGAUGCCGCCGCCGCCGCCUCCGCCGCCGCCGCAGGGCCCGGGGCUUCUGUAGGGCACAAGGCCUCCCUCACCAGGGUAAGGGGCUGGCGAUCAACCUGGACGCCUGGGACCCUGGGAACAAGCAUCCCGCAGCCGAGCAGACGACGGCGCGGCCACCGCCUGGAGAGGAGCCGGGGCCCGGGGCGGCGUGCGGGCCGGCGGCAGCCGGCUUGGCCUAUCCGAAACCCCAGGCCUGGAAGCGGCUGCUUUAGGCGUCAAGUUGAGCGGGGUAUGUGUGUCCUCUUGGGGAAAAGGCAGGAGAAAGAAGCGGAGCCGAGCCGAGCCGCCGAGUCCCUCCCCUCGGAGCCCCGGCGCCGGCCUGGGCGGUCCCGGCCGCGCAGUUAAAGACAGAAAAGAAGCCGGGAAUCUGCGGGGCUCGGGGGGCGGGGAGCGACACCAAAGGCCAGAAACUGCAGCACGGCCCGAGGCCCUGGCGAGCCGGGCCUGGGGGAGGAGAAGUCCCUUCCCAUUCCAGCUCGAUCAAUCUUGCUGGGCUGCGAUC